CGCGGGGUGGAGCAGCCUGGUAGCUCGUCGGGCUCAUAACCCAAGGUCGUCGGUUCAAAUCCGGCCCCCGCAACCA
rnacentral:tRNA from 2 species